rnacentral:rRNA from 1 species
CGGAUUUACUGGGCGUAAAGGGUGCGUAGGCGGUCUUUCAAGUCAGGAGUGAAAGGCUACGGCUCAACCGUAGUAAGCUCUUGAAACUGGGAGACUUGAGUGCAGGAGAGGAGAGUGGAAUUCCUAGGGUAGCGGUGAAAUGCGUAGAUAUUAGGAGGAACACCAGUUGCGAAGGCGGCUCUCUGGACUGUAACUGACGCUGAGGCACGAAAGCGUGGGGAGCAAACAGGAUUAGAUACCCUGGUAGUCCACGCUGUAAACGAUGAGUACUAGGUGUCGGGGGUUACCCCCUUCGGUGCCGCAGCUAACGCAUUAAGUACUCCGCCUGGGAAGUACGCUCGCAAGAG